rnacentral:rRNA from 1 species
CCUACGGGCGGCAGCAGUGGGGAAUAUUGGACAAUGGGCGAAAGCCUGAUCCAGCCAUGCCGCGUGUGUGAAGAAGGCCUUCGGGUUGUAAAGCACUUUCAGUGGGGAAGAAAGCCUUGGGGCUAAUACCCUCGAGGAAGGACAUCACCCACAGAAGAAGCACCGGCUAACUCCGUGCCAGCAGCCGCGGUAAUACGGAGGGUGCGAGCGUUAAUCGGAAUUACUGGGCGUAAAGCGCGCGUAGGCGGUCUGAUAAGCCGGUUGUGAAAGCCCCGGGCUCAACCUGGGAACGGCAUCCGGAACUGUCAGGCUAGAGUGCAGGAGAGGAAGGUAGAAUUCCUGGUGUAGCGGUGAAAUGCGUAGAGAUCGGGAGGAAUACCAGUGGCGAAGGCGGCCUUCUGGACUGACACUGACGCUGAGGUGCGAAAGCGUGGGUAGCAAACAGGAUUAGAUACCCUUGUAGUC